GAUGAACGCUGGCGGCGUGCCUAAUACAUGCAAGUCGAACGGGGAGUAGCAAUACUCUUAGUGGCGAACGGGUGAGUAACGCGUUGGUACCUGCCCCGAAGCGGGGGAUAACGGACCGAAAGGUCCGCUAAUACCCCAUGUGCUCGGUAACGAGUCAAGGGGAGAACCCCGUUGGGAGGGGCCUGCGUCCCAUCGGCUAGUUGGUAAGGUAACGGCUGACCAAGGCGAUGACGGGUAGGGGACCUGAGAGGGGGGCCCCCCACAAUGGAACUGAAACCCGGUCCAUACCCCUACGGAUGGCAGCAGUAGGGAAUACUGGUAACGGGCGCAAGACGGAACCAGCAACGGCGCGUGUGCGAUGCCGGCCGUCGGGUUGCAAAGCACUUUUGACUGGGACGAGGAAGGACGGUACUGGUCGAAUCAGCCUCGGCUAACUACGUG
rnacentral:rRNA from 1 species